rnacentral:snoRNA from 1 species
AUGACCUUACUUGAGCAGUAUCUGUUAUAUAGGUUACACAUCUAUUUCCAUUGACAUUAUGGGGACACACACCUCAAUUUGGAUGAUUCCAUGAUGUCACAUGGCCAGAGUGUGAAUGCCAGAUGUGGGUCCCAAUGGAGUAUCAAGCUCCAUAGAAGACCACUCUCUCCAAGCCUUGGCUCGGAUGACAGGGUCAUGUGGCAGUCCUGAGAGAUC